rnacentral:tRNA from 1 species
GCGCCCAUAGUUCAAAUGGAUAGAACGUCGGAUUCCGGUUCCGAAGGUUGGAGGUUCGAAUCCUCUUGGGCGUA